GGGGAUGUAGCUCACUUGGUAGAGUGCUUGCCUGGCAGGCAAAAGGCCCUGGUUUAAUUCCCAGCACCA
rnacentral:tRNA from 1 species